AGUCGAACGAAGCUUUCGGGCUUAGUGGCGCACGGGUGCGUAACGCGUAUGCAAUUUACCUUUUACAGGGGGACAACACUAGGAAACUGGUGCUAAUACCGCGUAAUAAAUAGAGAGGCAUCUUUUUAUUUUAAAAGAAUUUCGGUAAGAGAUAAGCAUGCGUCCCAUUAGCUAGUUGGUAAGGUAACGGCUUACCAAGGCCACGAUGGGUAGGGGAACUGAGAGGUUUAUCCCCCACACUGGUACUGAGAUACGGACCAGACUCCUACGGGAGGCAGCAGUAAGGAAUAUUGGGCAAUGGGCGAGAGCCUGACCCAGCCAUGCCGCGUGCAGGAUGACGCUCCUCGUUGGGUGUAAACUGCUUUUAUUAGGGAAGAACAAGUUUCUGCGGAGACAACUGACGGUACCUAAUGAAUAAGCACCGGCUAACUACGUGCCAGCAGCCGCGGUAAUACGUAGGGUGCAAGCGUUGUCCGGAUUUAUUGGGUUUAAAGGGUGUGUAGGCGGUCUAGUAAGUUUUGGGUGAAAGCCCACCGCUCAACGGUGGAACUGCCUGAGAUACUGCUAGACUUGAGUAUAGUUAAAGUUACUAGAAUUGGUGGUGUAGCGGUGAAAUGCAUAGAUACCACCAGGAAUACCAAUUGCGAAGGCAGGUAACUAGGCUAUAACUGACGCUGAGGCACGAAAGCAUGGGUAGCGAACAGGAUUAGAUACCCUGGUAGUCCAUGCUGUAAACGAUGAGGACUCGGUGUUGGCAUUUAUGUCAGUGCCUAAGGGAA
rnacentral:rRNA from 1 species